UACGUAGGGGGGCAAGCGUUGUCCGGAUUUAUUGGGCGUAAAGGAGCGAGUGUAGGCGGCUAGAUAGGUCCGUUGUGAAAACUGGAGGCUACAACCUCCCAGGCUGUCGAUGGAAACCAUCUAGCUAGAGUCCGGAAGAGGAGAGUGGAAUUCCUGGUGUAGCGGUGAAAUGCGCAGAUAAUCAGGAAGAACACCCGUGGCGGAAGGGCGGCUCUCUGGGGACGUGACUGACGCUGAGACGCGAAAGCGUGGGGAGCGAAACAGG
rnacentral:rRNA from 1 species